UGGGGAAUUUUGGACAAUGGGGGAAACCCUGAUCCAGCCAUCCCGCGUGUGCGAUGAAGGCCUUCGGGUUGUAAAGCACUUUUGGCAGGAAAGAAACGUCGCGGGUUAAUACCCCGCGGAACUGACGGUACCUGCAGAAUAAGCACCGGCUAACUACGUGCCAGCAGCCGCGGUAAUACGUAGGGUGCAAGCGUUAAUCGGAAUUACUGGGCGUAAAGCGUGCGCAGGCGGUUCGGAAAGAAAGGUGUGAAAUCCCAGGGCUUAACCUUGGAACUGCACUUUUAACUACCGAGCUAGAGUACGUCAGAGGGGGGUAGAAUUCCACGUGUAGCAGUGAAAUGCGUAGAGAUGUGGAGGAAUACCGAUGGCGAAGGCAGCCCCCUGGGAUGAUACUGACGCUCAUGCACGAAAGCGUGGGGAGCAAACAGGAUUAGAUACCCUGGUAGUCCACGCCCUAAACGAUGUCAACUAGCUGCUGGGGUUUAUUAACCUUAGUAGCGCAGCUAACGCGUGAAGUUGACCGCCUGGGGAGUACGGUCGCAAGAUUAAAACUCAAAUGAAUUGAC
rnacentral:rRNA from 1 species